rnacentral:sRNA from 1 species
GCAGUAUGGCGGGCGGGGCCCGGGAGGUGCUCACACUGCAGUUGGGACAUUUUGCCGGUUUUGUGGGCGCGCACUGGUGGAACCAGCAGGAUGCUGCGCUGGGCCAAGCGACCGAUUCCAAGGAGCCCCUGGGAGAGCUGUGCCCCGACGUCCUGUAUCGUACGGGCCGAACGCUGCACGGCCAGGAGACCUACACGCCGCGACUCAUCCUCAUGGAUCUGAAGGGUAGUUUGAGCUCCCUAAAAGAGGAAGGUGGACUCUACAGGGACAAACAGUUGGAUGCUGCAAUAGCAUGGCAGGGGAAGCUCACCACACACAAAGAGGAACUCUAUCCCAAGAACCCUUAUCUCCAGGACUUUCUGAGUGCAGAGCACUCCUUUUCCUAAGGACUGCGACUCGGUGAACAGAAAGGAGGCUAUGCGGUGUGGCCAGCCAACUCAAGGAGGAUGAAACAACCUUUGCCUCUAAACUGCCUGGAACUAAAUGUAGAUUUUUCUCACCCCUCCCAGGGAGUGCUGAGUAGUGAUGGUGUUUGGAGGGU